rnacentral:rRNA from 1 species
GCAGAACGCGAAGAACCUUACCAAGGCUUGACAUACACGAGAACACCCUGGAAACAGGGGACUCUUUGGACACUCGUGAACAGGUGGUGCAUGGUUGUCGUCAGCUCGUGUCGUGAGAUGUUGGGUUAAGUCCCGCAACGAGCGCAACCCUCGUUCUAUGUUGCCAGCACGUAAUGGUGGGAACUCAUGGGAUACUGCCGGGGUCAACUCGGAGGAAGGUGGGGAUGACGUCAAAUCAUCAUGCCCCUUAUGUCUUGGGCUUCACGCAUGCUACAAUGGCCGGUACAAAGGGCUGCAAUACCGUGAGGUGGAGCGAAUCCCAAAAAGCCGGUCCCAGUUCGGAUUGAGGUCUGCAACUCGACCUCAUGAAGUCGGAGUCGCUAGUAAUCGCAGAUCAGCAACGCUGCGGUGAAUACGUUCCCGGGUCUUGUACACACCG